UCAUUUUCAGUUGUUUUCGUA
rnacentral:piRNA from 1 species